GAUGAACGCUGGCGGCGUGCCUAAUACAUGCAAGUCGAGCGAACGGACGAUAAGCUUGCUUCUCUGAUGUUAGCGGCGGACGGGUGAGUAACACGUGGAUAACCUACCUAUAAUACUGGGAUAACUUCGGGAAACCGGAGCUAAUACCGGAUAAUAUUUUGAACCGCAUGGUUCAAAAGUGAAAGACGGUCUUGCUGUCACUUAUAGAUGUAUCCGCGCUGCAUUAGCUAGUUGGUAAGGUAACGGCUUACCAAGGCAACGAUGCAUAGCCGACCUGAGAGGGUGAUCGGCCACACUGGAACUGAGACACGGUCCAGACUCCUACGGGAGGCAGCAGUAGGGAAUCUUCCGCAAUGGGCGAAAGCCUGACGGAGCAACGCCGCGUGAGUGAUGAAGGUCUUCGGAUCGUAAAACUCUGUUAUUAGGGAAGAACAUAUGUGUAAGUAACUGUGCACAUCGUGACGGUACCUAAUCAGAAAGCCACGGCUAACUACGUG
rnacentral:rRNA from 1 species